GUCCAUGAUAGCUUAGCUGGUUAGGGCGUGGUGCUGAUAACACCAAGGUUGCAGGUUUGAUCCCCAUAUGGGACA